GUUUAUUUUUUAAUGUUAUGAUGAAUUGAGAUUGAUUCUGUCUCGGAAUUUUUAUUUUAGUUAUUAAUUAUUAUUAAAUACAAGUUUUUGCGUGUUAAAAUUUUUAUCUUAAGGGUAAUUUUUUUUAUUUUAAUUGUAGUUUUUUAUAUUAAAUAUUACAUGGGUUGUAGAUUUAGUUAAUUUAUUUAGGACUGUUUAAAAUUGUGCCAGCAUACGCGGUUACACAAUUAGUUCAAAUUAAUAUUUUUCGGUUUCAUUAAUUUAUUAUUUUGGGAA
rnacentral:rRNA from 1 species